GAUGAACGCUAGCUACAGGCUUAACACAUGCAAGUCGAGGGGAAACGACAUCGAAAGCUUGCUUUUGAUGGGCGUCGACCGGCGCACGGGUGAGUAACGCGUAUCCGACCUGCCCACCACUUGGGGAUAACCUUGCGAAGGUAAGACUAAUACCCAAUGACGUCUCUAGAAGACAUCUGAAAGAGAUUAAAGAUUUAUCGGUGAUGGAUGGGGAUGCGUCUGAUUAGCUUGUUGGCGGGGUAACGGCCCACCAAGGCGACGAUCAGUAGGGGUUCUGAGAGGAAGGUCCCCCACAUUGGAACUGAGACACGGUCCAAACUCCUACGGGAGGCAGCAGUGAGGAAUAUUGGUCAAUGGGCGAGAGCCUGAACCAGCCAAGUAGCGUGCAGGAUGACGGCCCUAUGGGUUGUAAACUGCUUUUAUAAGGGAAUAAAGUGAGUCUCGUGAGACUUUUUGCAUGUACCUUAUGAAUAAGGACCGGCUAAUUCCGUGCCAGCAGCCGCAGUAA
rnacentral:rRNA from 1 species